rnacentral:lncRNA from 1 species
CAAAACAUAAAAGAUCUAAAGAUCAAAUACCAAAAACCUUUACUUCACCAAUAAGCCUCCAGAGUUUUGAAGUUGGGAAGAGACGUUCCAAAACGAGUUCGUUCUUGGUGAUCGACGCAGAGACAAAAGAAGUUCAGAGUUCAAGAAAGUGUAGGUUACACAAUUGAAAGGAUUUUUCAAUGAUUUACAGGUUGGGUGAUCAGAAUCUACUGAGGUUUAGUUGUAUCUAGACCAAUUGCAAGUUAUCUUUUCUAGUUGAUCUUUUUGGCAAGGUUUGCCCGAAGGUUUUUGAUCCCUGUGAAGAGUUAUUCAAGGAGUUUUUCUUUGUUGCAUAAUUUGGUAUUAUUUACUUUGUUGAUUCUGAUCUAAAAUACUUGAUUGAUACUUACGGUUUGAAUUGACUUUACUCUUAUUCAUCUAAAAACAAUAACCAAGUGAUUUGGUUAAUUGAGUUCCACAUAAUACACAUCUAGGUUUAGUUGGAUCUAAACAUCGUUCGACACUUCGUGCUAUAUAUAUUUUUUCAAUUUGUAUUAGAGCUUAAUAUCGAUCCAUGAUCCAAUUUUAUUUGAAUGAGUCAAUCAUUUUCUAAUGAAAGAUCUGAGGAUGAUAUAGAUAUUCGUGAGGCUUAUGACCAAUUGUUUUAGGAGAGUCUUAAGUUAAAAAAGGUUAAUAGAUCCGUCACGAAGAAACUAAAUGAUCUUGAAUUAGAAAAAGUGAGACUUGUAAUCAAACUUAAAGAGUCUACUAGAAGUCUAAAUGAGUUGAGGGAUGAGAAAGAGUCCUUAGAUGUUAAAGUUAAAUAUCUUACGAGUGAUCUUGAAAAAUAUAGUGUCCAAUUUCAAUCUUUUUCUAGUAAAUCUAAGAAAAUUGAUAACAUGAUAGGCCUAAACAAAACAACUGAGAAUAGAGGAGGUUUAAGCCUUAAAUAAGACAAAUUCUUAU